CAGUCGCCACGGUAAUACGAAGGGUGCAAGCGUUACUCGGAAUUACUGGGCGUAAAGCGUGCGUAGGUGGUGGUUUAAGUCCGUUGUGAAAGCCCUGGGCUCAACCUGGGAAUUGCAGUGGAUACUGGGUCACUAGAGUGUGGUAGAGGAUAGUGGAAUUUCCGGUGUAGCAGUGAAAUGCGUAGAGAUCGGAAGGAACAUCUGUGGCGAAGGCGACUAUCUGGGCCAUUACUGACACUGAGGCACGAAAGCGUGGGGAGCAAACAGGAUUAGAUACCCCCGUAGUCCCUGUCUCUUAUAC
rnacentral:rRNA from 1 species